rnacentral:rRNA from 1 species
AUUGAACGCUGGCGGCAUGCCUUACACAUGCAAGUCGAACGGUAACAGGCCGCAAGGUGCUGACGAGUGGCGAACGGGUGAGUAACACGUGGGUGAUCUGCCCUGCACUUCGGGAUAAGCCUGGGAAACUGGGUCUAAUACCGGAUAGGACCACCGCCUGCAUGGGUGGUAGUGGAAAGCUUUUGCGGUGUGGGAUGGGCCCGCGGCCUAUCAGCUUGUUUGUGGGGUGAUGGCCUACCAAGGCGACGACGGGUAGCCGGCCUGAGAGGUUGACCGGCCGAACUGGGACUGAGAUACGGCCCAGACUCCUACGGGAGGCAGCAGUGGGGAAUAUUGAGCGAUGGGGGCAAGCCUGAUGCAGCGAGGCCGCGUGUGGGAUGACGGCCUUCGGGUUGUAAACCUCUUUCAGCACCGACGAAGCGCAAGUGACGGUAGGUGCAGAAGAAGGACCGGCCAACUACGUGCCAGCAGCCGCCGUAAUAC